rnacentral:rRNA from 2 species
UACGGAGGAUGCGAGCGUUAUCCGGAUUUAUUGGGUUUAAAGGGUGCGUAGGCGGCCUGUUAAGUCAGCGGUGAAAUCUAGGGGCUUAACUCCUAAAUUGCCAUUGAUACUGGUGGGCUUGAGUGUAGAUGAGGUAGGCGGAAUGCGUGGUGUAGCGGUGGAAUGCAUAGAUAUCACGCAGAACUCCAAUUGCGAAGGCAGCUUACUAAGGUACAACUGACGCUGAAGCACGAAAGCGUGGGUAUCAAAC